CCUACGGGAGGCAGCAGUGAGGAAUAUUGGUCAAUGGGCGAGAGCCUGAACCAGCCAAGUCGCGUGAGGGAAGACGGUCCUAUGGAUUGUAAACCUCUUUUGCCGGGGAGCAAAAAGCGGUACGUGUACCGCAUCGAGAGUACCCGGAGAAAAAGCAUCGGCUAACUCCGUGCCAGCAGCCGCGGUAAUACGGAGGAUGCGAGCGUUAUCCGGAUUUAUUGGGUUUAAAGGGUGCGCAGGCGGCGAGUUAAGUCAGCGGUAAAAUUUCGGGGCUCAACCCCGACAAGCCGUUGAAACUGGCGUGCUAGAGUGGGCGAGAAGUAUGCGGAAUGCGUGGUGUAGCGGUGAAAUGCAUAGAUAUCACGCAGAACUCCGAUUGCGAAGGCAGCAUACCGGCGCCCAACUGACGCUCAGGCACGAAAGCGUGGGUAUCGAACAGGAUUAGAGACCCGGGUAGUC
rnacentral:rRNA from 1 species